rnacentral:rRNA from 1 species
CUUACACAUGCAAGUCGAGGGGUAUAGUAGCAAUACUAGAGACCGGCGCACGGGUGCGUAACGCGUAUGCAAUCUACCUUUUGCAGAGGGAUAGCCCAGAGAAAUUUGGAUUAAUACCUCAUAGUAUAGUACAAUCGCAUGAUUGAACUAUUAAAGUCACAACGGCAAAAGAUGAGCAUGCGUCCCAUUAGUUAGUUGGUAAGGUAACGGCUUACCAAGACUACGAUGGGUAGGGGUCCUGAGAGGGAGAUCCCCCACACUGGUACUGAGACACGGACCAGACUCCUACGGGAGGCAGCAGUGAGGAAUAUUGGACAAUGGGCGCAAGCCUGAUCCAGCCAUGCCGCGUGCGGGAUGACGGUCCUAUGGAUUGUAAACUGCUUUUGCACAGGAAGAAACACCCCUACGUGUAGGGACUUGACGGUACUGUGAGAAUAAGGAUCGGCUAACUCCGUGCCAGCAGCCGCGGUAAUACGGAGGAUCCAAGCGUUAUCCGGAAUCAUUGGGUUUAAAGGGUCCGUAGGCGGUCUUAUAAGUCAGUGGUGAAAUCUCCCUGCUCAACGGGGAAACGGCCAUUGAUACUGUAAGACUUGAAUUAUUAGGAAGUAACUAGAAUAUGUAGUGUAGCGGUGAAAUGCUUAGAGAUUACAUGGAAUACCAAUUGCGAAGGCAGGUUACUACUAAUGGAUUGACGCUGAUGGACGAAAGCGUGGGUAGCGAACAGGAUUAGAUACCCUGGUAGUCCACACCGUAAACGAUGGAUACUAGCUGUUGGGAGCAAUCUCAGUGGCUAAGCGAAAGUGAUAAGUAUCCCACCUGGGGAGUACGUUCGCAAGAAUGAAACUCAAAGGAAUUGACGGGGGCCCGCACAAGCGGUGGAGCAUGUGGUUUAAUUCGAUGAUACGCGAGGAACCUUACCA